AUAGACGAUGCGACGCCAUUCUUGAAAUGAGAGCAGAGAGAUGAGUGCAUGCAUGGCCUGCCUGGCAGAAACGAUAGGUCGAUAUUAUAACGUGUAGCAGGGGCUCCCACCUGGUGGCGUAAUUAGGCCAGCGAUUAAUUAAUGCGGUGUACGUGUUAAGGAAGAAAUCGAUUAUUAGUAUCGACCAAGCUAGCUACUAGGAGUACUAGCUAGCUAGCAGGGGCAUGAACUGACGCUUGCACGGCUAGCUGUUGAAUUGAAUCUCUGGAGUCGUCUCGUCCCUGCAGCCGAGUAGGAGUAGCUAGCCAGCUAGAUCUGGAUGCAUGCAUGUAAAUGGAGGAUGUACCGUACCGUACUCCGUACGUGCCGUGCCCUCUCUGGUCGGUCGAGCUGCGCGCAGAAUUCCAUCGGAUCGUUGGUCGUCACAGGAGCGAUGACACAAUGAAACGAUUUUAAUUGGAUCCAGUAUAUAGGGUUAGACAUAAAACUUGUUAGAAAAUUGUGUAACUUUUAAAAGUAAACUAAUUCCUAAAGCAUUAUAUAGACAAUAGAUAAACCAUGUGUUGAGCACCAUUUAUGGCACUGGACAUCGACGGUCCGCCUGUAUUUCUAACAGUGGUUGAUCGGUUCUCUAAGUAUGGUCAUUUUAUUGUUUUGGGACAUCCAUAUUCAGUGGCAUCAAUUGCAAAGGCCUUGUUU
rnacentral:lncRNA from 7 species